UACGUAGGGUGCGAGCGUUAAUCGGAAUUACUGGGCGUAAAGCGUGCGCAGGCGGCUUUGCAAGACAGAUGUGAAAUCCCCGGGCUCAACCUGGGAACUGCAUUUGUGACUGCAAGGCUAGAGUACGGCAGAGGGGGAUGGAAUUCCGCGUGUAGCAGUGAAAUGCGUAGAUAUUCGGAAGAACACCAGUGGCGAAGGCAAUCCCCUGGGCCUGUACUGACGCUCAUGCACGAAAGCGUGGGGAGCAAACAGG
rnacentral:rRNA from 1 species